rnacentral:rRNA from 1 species
CCUACGGGAGGCAGCAGUGGGGAAUAUUGGACAAUGGGCGAAAGCCUGAUCCAGCAAUGCCGCGUGAGUGAUGAAGGCCUUAGGGUUGUAAAGCUCUUUUACCCGGGAUGAUAAUGACAGUACCGGGAGAAUAAGCCCCGGCUAACUCCGUGCCAGCAGCCGCGGUAAUACGGAGGGGGCUAGCGUUGUUCGGAAUUACUGGGCGUAAAGCGCACGUAGGCGGUUAUUCAAGUCAGAGGUGAAAGCCUGGAGCUCAACUCCAGAACUGCCUUUGAAACUAGAUAACUAGAAUCAUGGAGAGGUGAGUGGAAUUCCGAGUGUAGAGGUGAAAUUCGUAGAUAUUCGGAAGAACACCAGUGGCCGAAGGCGGCUCACUGGACAUGUAUUGACGCUGAGGUGCGAAAGCGUGGGAGCAAACAGGAUUAGAUACCCUGGUAGUCCACGCCGUAAACGAUGAUAACCUAGUUNUCGGGGCUCUUAGAGCUUCGGUGACGCNGCUACGACUAUAAGUUAUCCG